GAUUCCGUAGCUCAGCUGGUAGAGCAAUACACUUUUAAUGUAUGGGCCCUGGGUUCGAGUCCCAGCGGGAUCA
rnacentral:tRNA from 3 species